GAUGAACGCUGGCGGCGUGCCUAAUACAUGCAAGUCGAGCGAACAGAUGAGGAGCUUGCUCCUCUGACGUUAGCGGCGGACGGGUGAGUAACACGUGGAUAACCUACCUAUAAGACUGGGAUAACUUCGGGAAACCGGAGCUAAUACCGGAUAAUAUAUUGAACCGCAUGGUUCAAUAGUGAAAGACGGUUUUGCUGUCACUUAUAGAUGGAUCCGCGCCGCAUUAGCUAGUUGGUAAGGUAACGGCUUACCAAGGCAACGAUGCGUAGCCGACCUGAGAGGGUGAUCGGCCACACUGGAACUGAGACACGGUCCAGACUCCUACGGGAGGCAGCAGUAGGGAAUCUUCCGCAAUGGGCGAAAGCCUGACGGAGCAACGCCGCGUGGGUGAAGAAGGUCUUCGGAUCGUAAAACUCUGUUAUUAGGGAAGAAAAAAUGUGUAAUUAAAUAUGCACGUCUUGACGGUACCUAAUCAAAAAGCCACGGCUAACUUCGUG
rnacentral:rRNA from 1 species